rnacentral:lncRNA from 1 species
CUACAUUAAAAAUCAAUCAGAGUCAUUACAAACCGAGCAUAACAAACCGUAAACAAAAGACAGCAGCCAUGAGAUGGCUACUAUAGAGUUAAACAUAGAUGACAUAGGAUUAGGUAGUAUAAGACAAAAAGUGCCAGUGAAGAAGUAAGAAACGCUCCAUUGGCCGAUGAACAAGUCUGGGCUUAUAAAGAAAUUCAAAAUGCUGCAACCAAAUUGAAGCUUCUCCUGAGCAA